AAGAUACCUCUCGUCACAGUUUCAAAAUGUCCGAGCUUCGGUGUAGAACUGAACUGCCCGACCGCGGGAAUCUGGCAAACUCUAGGUUAUUGCACGACCACCGAGAUGUGGACUCACCUACAAAAUCAAUUUUUUCGACUUUGGCGCUCCGUCUCCUGAGCAUCAACUAUAAGAAAUCCUAUGUGCUCCUCUUUUACAGCCUGUGGUCCAAUUUGCAGCUUGAGGGAGCGUCCAAAUCCGUGCCCCGGAAGCACCUCCAGGCAGGCCAGCUUGCUCGUUCAACAUCUCAUCGUGUACUUUACCCUUCCCUGCGGUACUGUUCAUUUGACAGUCUGAACUCUCUUCACUCGCGCGAAAAUUCUAGCUGGGAAUAUAUUGUGUGCGAGAUGCAGCGGAACUUUGGUCCGGUUUCCAUUUGCGAAGUGAUUUGGAUGCACAGGAGCCGCACUAUGGUUUCUUUCAAGAGGAUGCGAUGCUUGAGAAGAAUGUCUGUCUGAGUGUCUUAGAGUUCGUCGUUUGUUGCGAAUUUCACAGAUUUACAGUUAGCUUUUGAGGACCGAGUUGGGAUUGCGGGGACGAGAGGCUGGUUCAGAUUCGGAAGCUUGAAGCAGCUAUGGCGAUUUUGAGUGGUCCGAUCCUUGUGGCGCUAGCUGUGACCUGGCCCGGUAGAUACAUGAGUUGGGCGAUGCUUGCGCCAUGGCUGGAUGUUUUGGAGCGUAGGGCUGCGGCAACAGCGAAUCCUGUACUUCGAGCAACCAUCGCCCUGUGCGGAUUCCUGGUUCUGCUGUGUGUUCAAGGCCCUUGGGUGGGCUAAGUUUACGCUGCGCUUGCAGGUGCCGUGACUGUCUUCCCAGAGUGUAGAGAUUUGAGAGAUGCCGGCUCAUGCGCCCCAUGAAAUGCCGUGUGUACCCAGCAGAUUGGAAGGUAAUCCAAGUAUUGUUUCUAUAUAUCCUUUCCGACCACGACACGACGCAAAACACCGCAAAUCGAUGCGCGCAGCCACCGCUGACCGAAGCGCAUCGGUGUUUUUUCCACAGUCGUUAGUCCAGACACGACGUUUAGGUUUUUGCUACGGCUCUUGGCUGUGAAUCUUCAAGCAACGAAAGAGGAUCUAUUUUCCUCUAUUCUUUUUUGUAUUAUUACUGCAACAGUUUUCUUUUCACUCUGCUCAUGCUCUUCUACUAUUCAUCUGUUAUGAUGUAUUGGAGCAUGUUGCAAUUUAGGGGAAACAUGUACACGAGGAUGUUGUGAUAAAUUUGUAAUCUGGGGGCAAGGCGGUUUUGAGUAACGUAGCUUGGAUUUGGAAAUCAGUGAUUUUCAAGUAUUGCUGAACUUCUCCUAUUGCAAAAUGAAAGAUUGUUUGUGUGUGUACUCUUUAGUUUUA